CCUACGGGCGGCAGCAGUGGGGAAUAUUGGACAAUGGGCGAAAGCCUGAUCCAGCCAUGCCGCGUGUGUGAAGAAGGACUUCGGGUUGUAAAGCACUUUCAGUGGGGAAGAAAGCCUUGGGGCUAAUACCCUCGAGGAAGGACAUCACCCACAGAAGAAGCACCGGCUAACUCCGUGCCAGCAGCCGCGGUAAUACGGAGGGUGCGAGCGUUAAUCGGAAUUACUGGGCGUAAAGCGCGCGUAGGCGGUCUGAUAAGCCGGUUGUGAAAGCCCCGGGCUCAACCUGGGAACGGCAUCCGGAACUGUCAGGCUAGAGUGCAGGAGAGGAAGGUAGAAUUCCCGGUGUAGCGGUGAAAUGCGUAGAGAUCGGGAGGAAUACCAGUGGCGAAGGCGGCCUUCUGGACUGACACUGACGCUGAGGUGCGAAAGCGUGGGUAGCAAACAGGAUUAGAUACCCCAGUAGUC
rnacentral:rRNA from 1 species